UACGUAGGGGGCAAGCGUUGUCCGGAAUCAUUGGGCGUAAAGCGCGUGUAGGCGGCCAGGUAAGUCCGUUCUGAAAGCCCGGGGCUCAACCCCGGGAGGCGGAUGGAUACUGCUUGGCUCGAGUCCGGAAGAGGCGAGUGGAAUUCCCGGUGUAGCGGUGAGAUGCGCAGAUAUCGGGAGGAACACCAAUGGCGAAGGCAGCUCGCUGGGACGGUACUGACGCUGAGACGCGAAAGCGUGGGGAGCAAACAGG
rnacentral:rRNA from 1 species